rnacentral:rRNA from 1 species
UACGUAGGGUGCGAGCGUUGUCCGGAAUUAUUGGGCGUAAAGAGCUUGUAGGCGGUUUGUCGCGUCUGCUGUGAAAUCUCAAGGCUCAACCUUGAGCUUGCAGUGGGUACGGGCAGACUAGAGUGUGGUAGGGGAGACUGGAAUUCCUGGUGUAGCGGUGAAAUGCGCAGAUAUCAGGAGGAACACCGAUGGCGAAGGCAGGUCUCUGGGCAUUAACUGACGCUGGAGGAGCGAAAGCAUGGGGAGCGAACAGG